UACGUAGGGUGCGAGCGUUGUCCGGAAUUAUUGGGCGUAAAGAGCUCGUAGGCGGUUUGUCGCGUCUGCUGUGAAAACCCGAGGCUCAACCUCGGGCCUGCAGUGGGUACGGGCAGACUAGAGUGCGGUAGGGGAGAUUGGAAUUCCUGGUGUAGCGGUGGAAUGCACAGAUAUCAGGAGGAACACCAAUGGCGAAGGCAGCAGACUGGGCGUUUCCUGACGCUGAGGCGCGAAAGCGUGGGUAGCAAACAGG
rnacentral:rRNA from 1 species